CCAGACUCCUACGGGAGGCAGCAGUGGGGGAUAUUGCACAAUGGGGGAAACCCUGAUGCAGCGACGCCGCGUGAGUGAAGAAGUAUUUCGGUAUGUAAAGCUCUAUCAGCAGGGAAGAAAAUGACAGUACCUGACCAAGAAGCCCCGGCUAACUACGUGCCAGCAGCCGCGGUAAUACGUAGGGGGCAAGCGUUAUCCGGAUUUACUGGGUGUAAAGGGAGCGUAGACGGUUAUGUAAGUCUGGAGUGAAAGCCCGGGGCCCAACCCCGGGACUGCUUUGGAAACUGUAUAGCUGGAGUGCAGGAGAGGUAAGUGGAAUUCCUAGUGUAGCGGUGAAAUGCGUAGAUAUUAGGAGGAACACCAGUGGCGAAGGCGGCUUACUGGACUGUAACUGACGUUGAGGCUCGAAAGCGUGGGGAGCAAACAGGAUUAGAUACCCUGGUA
rnacentral:rRNA from 1 species